rnacentral:rRNA from 1 species
AGUGAACGCUGGCGGUAGGCCUAACACAUGCAAGUCGAACGGCAGCACAGUAAGAGCUUGCUCUUACGGGUGGCGAGUGGCGGACGGGUGAGGAAUACAUCGGAAUCUACUUUUUCGUGGGGGAUAACGUAGGGAAACUUACGCUAAUACCGCAUACGACCUACGGGUGAAAGCAUGGGAUCUUCGGACCUUGCGCGAUUGAAUGAGCCGAUGUCGGAUUAGCUAGUUGGCGGGGUAAAGGCCCACCAAGGCGACGAUCCGUAGCUGGUCUGAGAGGAUGAUCAGCCACACUGGGAGUGAGACACGGUCCAGACGCCUACGGGAGGCAGCAGUGGGGAAUAGUGGGCAAUGGGCGCAAGCCUGAUCCAGCCAUACCGAGUGGGUGAGGAAGGCCUUCGGGUUGUAAAGCCCUUUUGUUGGGAAAGAAAAGCAGCAGGUUAAUACCCAGCUGUUCUGACGGUACCCAAAGAAUAAGCACCGGCUAACUUCGUGC